rnacentral:tRNA from 1 species
UCCUUGGUGGUCCAGUGGCUAAGAAUCCCUGCCAAUGCAGGAGACACAGGUUCAAUCCCUGGUCAGGGAA